rnacentral:rRNA from 1 species
UACAGAGGGUGCGAGCGUUAAUCGGAAUUACUGGGCGUAAAGCGUGCGUAGACGGUUAUGUAAGUCAGGUGUGAAAGCCCCGGGCUCAACCUGGGAAUUGCAUUUGAGACUGCAUAGCUAGGAUGCGGAAGAGGGAAGCGGAAUUUCCGGUGUAGCAGUGAAAUGCGUAGAUAUCGGAAGGAACAUCAGUGGCGAAAGCGGCUUCCUGGUCCAGCAUCGACGUUCAGGCACGAAAGCGUGGGGAGCAAACAGG